AGAGUUUGAUCCUGGCUCAGGAUGAACGCUGGCGGCGUGCCUAAUACAUGCAAGUCGAGCGAACGGACGAGAAGCUCGCUUCUCUGAUGUUAGCGGCGGACGGGUGAGUAACACAUGGAUAACCUACCUAUAAGACUGGGAUAACUUCGGGAAACCGGAGCUAAUACCAGAUAAUAUUUUGAACCGCAUGGUUCAAAAGUGAAAGACGGUCUUGCCGUCACUUAUAGAUGGAUCCGCGCUGCAUUAGCUAGUUGGUAAGGUAACGGCUUACCAAGGCAACGAUGCAUAGCCGACCUGAGAGGGUGAUCGGCCACACUGGAACUGAGACACGGUCUAGACUCCUACGGGAGGCAGCAGUAGGGAAUCUUCCGCAAUGGGCGAAAGCCUGACGGAGCAACGCCGCGUGAGUGAUGAAAGUCUUCGGAUCGUAAAACUCUGUUAUUAGGGAAGAACAUAUGUGUAAGUAACUGUGCACAUCUUGACGGUACCUAAUCAGAAAGCCACGGCUAACUACGUGCCAGCAGCCGCGGUAAUACGUAGGUGGCAAGCGUUAUCCGGAAUUAUUGGGCGUAAAGCGCGCGUAGGCGGUUUUUUAAGUCUGAUGUGAAAGCCCACGGCUCAACCGUGGAGGGUCAUUGGAAGCUGGAAAACUUGAGUGCAGAAGAGGAAAGUGGAAUUCCAUGUGUAGCGGUGAAAUGCGCAGAGAUAUGGAGGAACACCAGUGGCGAAGGCGACUUUCUGGUCUGUAACUGACGCUGAUGUGCGAAAGCGUGGGGAUCAAACAGGAUUAGAUACCCUGGUAGUCC
rnacentral:rRNA from 1 species